UACGUAGGGUCCGAGCGUUGUCCGGAAUUAUUGGGCGUAAAGGGCUCGUAGGCGGUUCGUCACGUCGGGAGUGAAAACUCGGAGCUUAACUCCGAGCCUGCUUCCGAUACGGGCAGACUAGAGGUAGGCAGGGGAGAGCGGAACUCCUGGUGUAGCGGUGGAAUGCGCAGAUAUCAGGAAGAACACCGGUGGCGAAGGCGGGUCUCUGGGCCGUAACUGACGCUGAGGAGCGAAAGCGUGGGGAGCGAACAGG
rnacentral:rRNA from 1 species